GUGGCGAGGAUGGAAGCUGAGUUGGGAACUGCUGGGGAGCCUGAGGCCCUCCGUAGCGAGCACCAAGGAUUGCGGCGCAGCUGAGGGUGGAGCGGCCCCGCGGCGCCCCGCCCUCCGGCCUCCAUCUUCCUCGGGCUCGGAGAAGGGCGGAACCGGAACAGACCCGGGGCAGCACCGGGGAGCCCGCCCAGGCGGCCCGGGCCCAGUGCGCAGGCGCGGAGCGGUGCAUUUCGGGACGUGUAGUUUCCGCGCCGCAUUGUGGGAGUCCUGGUUUGCAAGCCCACUCGGCGCAGCGGUCCCCGCGACUUGGAGCUAUGGGACCGAGGCCCCAAGAGGGAAGUCGCCCGAGUGUGUAGUGUCUGCAUCCCGAGCUCAAGCCUUCUGACUCCUGGGACCAGCACGCCUGGCGCCCAGCUCCUCCCCGUCUGCUGGCCGGGUCUGCGUCCGCCAGGAGUGACGUCACCGUGGGUCCAGCAUGAACUGGGAGGUGCUGGAUCACGUGCCCCUGCUGCUGUACAUCUUGGCAGCGAAAACAUUGAUUCUCUGCCUGGCAUUUGCCGGAGCCAAAGCAUACCAAAGGAAGAGGUUGGAAGCCAGAGAGCGACAGCUGGAAGCGGAGAAGAAGUCGGAGAAGAAAGCGCGCUAACGGGAGCCACAGGGUGAAGUGUGGCUGCAGGGGUCCUCACCCAGCUCACGCUCGCCCCUGCUGCUGCCCGCCCUGCAGCAGCCGGACCUGGGCCUCGGAGCAGCCGGACCCGGCCUCGGAGCAGCCCGCGUGGCCAGGCCACAGCAGCUCCUGUGGUGGGAGCCGCCUUGUUAAAGAGAUGCUCCAUCGGCUGGACCUCGGGAGCCGGACCCCGUAGGGGAAGAGGGAGCGCGUCCAAGUGAAAGGAUGAGCUCAGUGGUGUCUGAGCCAGAGUGGCUGCACAUGAGUGCUGUGCUGAGCAAGUGGGGCGUCCGCGCUGCUGAUCAGACGGCUCCUGCUUCCCACCGGCCCUUCCCCCAGACGCUGCUCCACACGGCGGCCCUCUCCCCGGACGCUGCUCCACACAGCGGACCUCUCCCCUAGACGCACCACACGGCGCCACGUGGAGAGUGGACUCGCCGAGGAGAAGAAACUCCCGAGGGUAACUCCCAGCUGCAGCGGAACUAAAGUGAUGGGACCUGGCAGAGGCUUUAAGAACCUGUGUUUUCUCUAGUAAAGUAAACACCUGGACAAAGGC